rnacentral:rRNA from 1 species
CUGGUCUGAGAGGAUGAUCAGUCACACUGGAACUGAGACACGGUCCAGACUCCUACGGGAGGCAGCAGUGGGGAAUAUUGGACAAUGGGCGAAAGCCUGAUCCAGCCAUGCCGCGUGUGUGAAGAAGGUCUUCGGAUUGUAAAGCACUUUAAGUUGGGAGGAAGGGCAGUAAGUUAAUACCUUGCUGUUUUGACGUUACCGACAGAAUAAGCACCGGCUAACUCUGUGCCAGCAGCCGCGGUAAUACAGAGGGUGCAAGCGUUAAUCGGAAUUACUGGGCGUAAAGCGCGCGUAGGUGGUUCGUUAAGUUGGAUGUGAAAGCCCCGGGCUCAACCUGGGAACUGCAUUCAAAACUGGCGAGCUAGAGUAUGGUAGAGGGUGGUGGAAUUUCCUGUGUAGCGGUGAAAUGCGUAGAUAUAGGAAGGAACACCAGUGGCGAAGGCGACCACCUGGACUGAUACUGACACUGAGGUGCGAAAGCGUGGGGAGCAGACAGGAUUAGAUACCCUGGUAGUCACGCCGUAAACGAUGUCGACUAGCCGUUGGGGUCCUUGAGACUUUAGUGGCGCAGCUAACGCAUUAAGUCGACCGCCUGGGGAGUACGGCCGCAAGGUUAAAACUCAAAUGAAUUGACGGGGGCCCGCACAAGCGGUGGAGCGUGUGGUUUAAUUCGAAGCAACGCGAAGAACCUACCUGGCCUUGACAUGCUGAGAACUUUCCAGAGAUGGAUUGGUGCCUUCGGGAACUCAGACACAGGUGCUGCAUGGCUGUCGUCAGCUCGUGUCGUGAGAUGUUGGGUUAAGUCCCGUAACGAGCGCAACCCUUGUCCUUAGUUACCAGCACGUUAUGGUGGGCACUCUAAGGAGACUGCCGGUGACAAACCGGAGGAAGGUGGGGAUGACGUCAAGUCAUCWUGGCCCUUACGGCCAGGGCUACACGCGUGCUACAAUGGUCGGUACAAAGGGUUGCCAAGCCGCGAGGUGGAGCUAAUCCCAUAAAACCGAUCGUAGUCCGGAUCGCAGUCUGCAACUCGACUGCGUGAAGUCGGAAUCGCUAGUAAUCGUGAAUCAGAAUGUCACGGUGAAUACGUUCCCGGGCCUUGUACACACCGCCCGUCACACCAUGGGAGUGGGUUGCACCAGAAGUAGCUAGUCUAACCUUCGGGGGGACGGUUACCACGGAGUGGAUU